rnacentral:rRNA from 1 species
UACGUAGGGUGCAAGCGUUAAUCGGAAUUACUGGGCGUAAAGCGUGCGCAGGCGGUUUUGUAAGUCUGACGUGAAAGCCCCGGGCUUAACCUGGGAAUUGCGUUGGAGACUGCAAGGCUUGAAUCUGGCAGAGGGGGGUAGAAUUCCACGUGUAGCAGUGAAAUGCGUAGAGAUCCGGAAGAACACCGGUGGCGAAGGCGGUCUGCUGGGGUAAUGCUGACACUGAUGCGCGACAGCGUGGGGAGCAAACAGG